UGCGUUUUCUUGAUAUACUAUUACGCUCCUUAUUGUUUCAUCUUUUCAAUUUACAGUUUUUUAUUUAUAAUGAUGAGAGAGACAUGGUUGCGUCCUUGAUUCAUUUAAGAAUGUUACUAAGUGCAACCAAUAAAAAGGAACUCUCCAAGCCAAGGCGUAAACUAUCGCGCUAAGGGCUGCACGGUGCAAGGAAGACUGUACCGUAAACAAUGCCUUCCAAAUACCAGGUACCUUCUAAGAGUACAAGUCAAAUUCUAGGCAUUCGUGAUUCUGUCCAAGUAAUAUCGCACAGUAUUUGUGGGAGACUAUAAUUUUAAUAACAAUAAAUAAAGUCUUCAUGA